UCUCCCCCAACUGUGUCCACACAUCACCCCUCCCCCCAGCUCCUCCUUUGUUGUGUCAGUACGCUCACAGUGUUCAUAUUUUUAAAAAUCCAAUGGAGGUGAAGAGAACCUAGCGAUUUGGCUACAGAUGAGGUUAUUGAAGUACCAUGAGUUUCUUUGGUUGAAGAUAUGUUGAUCUCAUCACGUUGGUGAGUUUCCGGAUGGAUUAGUAGCCUGAAGACGUCUUUGGUUCUAUAGUUAUGGAGAUUCAUUGGUUGUCGUGUCCUGUGGUUAUACCGGAUGUUUGGAUCUUCGAGUUCCUGGUUACACCUGUUCCGUGAGCUGCGAGUCAUCAAGAAAGAGGGGGAGGCGGAAUUGCAGCCAGCUUUUAUGGGACAGUCUGGAAUGUCUCAUAAAAGCUUUUUUUUCUUUUAAGGUUGUUGUU